rnacentral:rRNA from 1 species
CCUACGGGUGGCAGCAGUGAGGAAUAUUGGUCAAUGGGAGAGAUCCUGAACCAGCCAAGCCGCGUGAGGGAAGACGGCCCUAUGGGUUGUAAACCUCUUUUGUCGGAGAACAAAACCCGGGACGUGUCCCGGACUGCGUGUAUCCGAAGAAAAAGCAUCGGCUAACUCCGUGCCAGCAGCCGCGGUAAUACGGAGGAUGCGAGCGUUAUCCGGAUUUAUUGGGUUUAAAGGGUGCGUAGGCGGUCCGUUAAGUCAGCGGGAAAAUUGCGGGGCUCAACCCCGACGUGCCGUUGAGACUGGCAGACUUGAGUUGGCGAGAGGUACGCGGAAUGCGCGGGGUAGCGGUGAAAUGCAUAGAGAUCGCGCAGAACUCCGAUUGCGAAGGCAGCGUACCGGCGCCAGACUGACGCUGAGGCACGAAAGCGUGGGGAUCGAACAGGAUUAGAUACCCGAGUAGUC